rnacentral:rRNA from 1 species
UCGAGAGGCUUCGGCAAUGGGGGAAACCCUGACCGAGCGACGCCGCGUGGGUGAUGAAGAUUCUCGGAUCGUAAAACCCUGUCAGGUGGGAUGAAAAACCAUUCGGUUAAUACCCGAGUGGCUUGACAGUACCACCAGAGGAAGCUCCGGCCAACUCCGUGCCAGCAGCCGCGGUAACACGGGGGGAGCAAGCGUUGUUCGGAUUCAUUGGGCGUAAAGAGCUCGUAGGCCGCUCUGUAAGUCGGAAGUGAAAGACCACGGCUCAACCGUGGAAACGCUUUCGAAACUGUGGAGCUUGAGGCCGGGAGAGGAGAUCGGAAUUCCUGGUGUAGCGGUGAAAUGCGUAGAUAUCAGGAGGAACACCCGUGGCGAAGGCGGAUCUCUGGACCGGUUCUGACGCUGAGGCACGAAAGCGUGGGGAGCAAACCGGAUUAGAUACCCGCGUAGUCCCUGAGCGGGCUGGCAAGGCGCAU